rnacentral:rRNA from 1 species
ACGAAGGGUGCAAGCGUUAAUCGGAAUUACUGGGCGUAAAGGGUGCGUAGGCGGCCUUUUAAGUCGGAUGUGAAAUCCCCGGGCUCAACCUGGGAAUGGCAUCCGAUACUGGGAGGCUAGAGUUUGGGAGAGGGUGGUGGAAUUCCCGGUGUAGCGGUGAAAUGCGUAGAGAUCGGGAGGAACAUCAGUGGCGAAGGCGGCCACCUGGCCUAAAACUGACGCUGAAGCACGAAAGCGUGGGGAGCAAACAGGAUUAGAUACCCUGGUAGUCCACGCCCUAAACGAUGAGAACUGGACGUUGGGAGGAAUUCGCCUCUUAGUGUCGAAGCUAACGCGUGAAGUUCUCCGCCUGGGGAGUACGCUCGCAAGAGUG